ACGAACGCUGGCGGCGUGCCUAACACAUGCAAGUCGAACGAGAUCUUCGGAUCUAGUGGCAGACGGGUGAGGAACACGUGGGAACAUCCCUUUCAGUUCGGAAUAACUCAGGGAAACUUGAGCUAAUACCGGAUACGUCCGUGAGGAGAAAGAUUUAUCGCUGAAAGAUUGGCCCGCGUCUGAUUAGCUAGUUGGUGAGGUAACGGCUCACCAAGGCUACGAUCAGUAGCUGAUCUGAGAGGAUGAUCAGCCACAUUGGGACUGAGACACGGCCCAAACUCCUACGGGAGGCAGCAGUGGGGAAUAUUGGACAAUGGGCGCAAGCCUGAUCCAGCCAUGCCGCGUGAGUGAUGAAGGCCUUCGGGUUGUAAAGCUCUUUUGUCCGGGAAGAUAAUGACUGUACCGGAAGAAUAAGCCCCGGCUAACUUCGU
rnacentral:rRNA from 1 species